rnacentral:rRNA from 1 species
AACGAACGCUGGCGGCAGGCCUAACACAUGCAAGUCGAACGAUGUAGCAAUACAUAGUGGCGCACGGGUGAGUAACGCGUGGGAAUGUACCAUUUGGUGGGGAAUAACUCCGGGAAACUGGAGCUAAUGCCGCAUACGCCCUUCGGGGGAAAGAUUUAUCGCCAAAUGAUCAGCCCGCGUGAGAUUAGAUUGUUGGUGGGGUAAUGGCCUACCAAGUCGACGAUCUCUAGCUGGUCUUAGAGGAUGACCAGCCACACUGGAACUGAGACACGGUCCAGACUCCUACGGGAGGCAGCAGUGGGGAAUAUUGGGCAAUGGACGAAAGUCUGACCCAGCCAUGCCGCGUGAGUGAUGAAGGCUCUAGGGUUGUAAAGCUCUUUCGCCGAUGAAGAUAAUGACGGUAGUCGGAGAAGAAGCCCCGGCUAACUUCGUGCCAGCCGCCGCCGUAA